rnacentral:rRNA from 1 species
GGGAAACUGCCCGAUGGAGGGGGAUAACUACUGGAAACGGUAGCUAAUACCGCAUAACGUCGCAAGACCAAAGUGGGGGACCUUCGGGCCUCACACCAUCGGAUGUGCCCAGAUGGGAUUAGCUAGUAGGUGGGGUAAUAGCUCACCUAGGCGACGAUCCCUAGCUGGUCUGAGAGGAUGACCAGCCACACUGGAACUGAGACACGGUCCAGACUCCUACGGGAGGCAGCAGUGGGGAAUAUUGCACAAUGGGCGCAAGCCUGAUGCAGCCAUGCCGCGUGUAUGAAGAAGGCCUUCGGGUUGUAAAGUACUUUCAGCGGGGAGGAAGGCGGUGAAGUUAAUAGCUUCACCGAUUGACGUUACCCGCAGAAGAAGCACCGGCUAACUCCGUGCCAGCAGCCGCGGUAAUACGGAGGGUGCAAGCGUUAAUCGGAAUUACUGGGCGUAAAGCGCACGCAGGCGGUCUGUCAAGUCGGAUGUGAAAUCCCCGGGCUUAACCUGGGAACUGCAUUCGAAACUGGCAGGCUGGAGUCUUGUAGAGGGGGGUAGAAUUCCAGGU